AGCUCGGUAGCCUAGUUGGUACAGCAAUUGUCUAGCAUAUAAGGGACGUGAGUUCAAAUAUCGCCUGAGCUU
rnacentral:tRNA from 1 species